GGGUAAACCCGGAAACCCGAAGAGUAACGCGGGUGGGCCUUAUCUUCAUCUUCCUCACCACACACACAACAAACACGCACACUCGUGGAUUUCAAACUUUGAGAGUAAUCUCAUCGGGACCUUUAUGAUCUCAUCGAACAUGCUUCUCCAUACGCUAUCGUCAUCGUCUCCACCCAUUCACCGCCUCUACCUCCACCAUUCUCAGAUUCUCCCUUCUUCUUCCUCUGUGUCUCUCAAGUUCCAUCCCAAAACGAUUUCUUUACAGGUAAACACUCCAACUUUCUCUCAAAGAAUCUGACUUUAUUGCAAUAUUAGAGAAUUCAAUUGGCUAAUCUUCCUCCAUGUUCUUUAAACGUGUGGAUGAAGGCAGAUACAUGGAAGGACUUUAGCUAUACGAUCUGCAGAACUUGCUGCUAGAGGGCUACCUUCUUUGAAGAAGCUGCCAAGCAAAGGAUCUACCUUUCUGCUGGGACAGAGCUUGUUGAUGGUCUCUGCUUAUCCAAACAUGGCAUCAGCGUCAGAGAGCGUGAAGCAUGAACCGGUUUACGAAGUUGGAGAGUUGUUUGAAUUAGGUAUUCAGCUUUCUUACUUGCUGUUGCUACUGGGUUUGCUCGGAGUUGGUACUUUCUAUGUGAUUCGUCAAGUACUUGUCCGCAGAGAGCUUGACCUCUCUGCCAAAGAGCUACAGGUAUUGAUUCUGAUCCCAAGUAUUAACCUUUGUGUUAGAAAUAGAAAAUUAGAUGAAAGGCCAGUAGAGAACUGAUGAAAUAAUAUUUGAUGUCUCUGAAUGUUUUUAGCAAACCAAUGUUAUUAGACUGAUUCAAGUAAGUAGCCAUGCUUAGACAGACUUUAAAACAUCUGAUCAAAACUGUUUUAUAUGGUUUUUGUGUUUGUCUGAAUAAUCUGAAGGAGCAAGUUAGGAGCGGGGAUGCAAGUGCAACAGAGCUCUUUGAGCUGGGUGCAGUGAUGCUGAGACGCAAAUUUUAUCCUGCAGCCAACAAGUUCUUGCUUCAAGCUAUCCAGAAAUGGGACGGUGACGAUCAAGAUCUUGCUCAGGUAAUAAUACAAAUUAAUUUACACACACAAGCACACACUGUUUCCAUCAAGUACAAAUGAUGAGUACAAUUCUCGAGACAGGUCUAUAACGCUCUUGGAGUGAGUUAUGUCCGAGAGGACAAACUGGACAAAGGAAUCGCUCAGUUUGAAAUGGCGGUGAAAAUUCAGCCUGGUUAUGUAACGGCUUGGAACAACCUUGGAGAUGCUUAUGAGAAGAAGAAGGAGCUGCCUUUGGCGUUGAAAGCGUUUGAAGAGGUUUUGUUGUUUGAUCCUAACAAUAAGGUGGCUCGGCCUCGCCGAGAUGCGUUGAAGGAUCGUGUUAAACUCUAUAAAGGCGUUGUGGCGGUCAAGUCCAAGAAACGGUGACGAAAAACCGAUAAACCAAGAACUCCCCCUCGUCUCUCUUAUGUUAUUUUUGUAAGGACAUUUUGUGUUAUUAUUAUGAAUAUGAAACUUGUUUACUGUUUUUACUCUUAACAAUAAAUCACUCAUCUUAUUAUUCAGAUAUCGAUACAAUGUUUAUAAAUAAUGAUAACAUGAUGAGAAAUAAGGUCACGCAAGAUACUAAAGAAGCAACAACGUAAAUAGAAGAUGUUCAGUGCAUGUAACAUAGAGGUUUUUGUUGUCUCAAGGACACUUGAGCUUAUUGCCGUGAGUACGGAGAUUAGCGUAGCAAGGACAUGAUGCUGUGUUGCCUGAGGUUCCGGGCGGCACGCACUGGCACUUGGCACAGCAACUUCCACAAGCUCUGUAACACACUUUCUUCCUCGACGUCUCUCUGCAUCUCCUCGCGCACGCAUACCCACAAUCUGCAAAUAUUUGGCUCAUACAUUAAUCAAAAAGUUGUUUGGCAAAAUAAAAGAAGAAGACUUAGAAUGUUACUAACUGAAUGGUGGACGAUGAUGGUAUGUUCUCUUAAACGCCUCCACUUGGUUCUCCUCGUUCGUCUGAAUCUAUAAGCAACACAAGAAACCGAGUUUAUUUGAUAUGGAAAGCUUGUUUUAAUAUGUUUUUAUUAUUUUUAUUUACCUGAGAAGCAGAGGAAGUUUCAGCGUUGCUGGACGAAGAUAGAUCUGCAAGUACCUGUGAAAGAAUCAGACAAGAACGUCUCAGUGUUUUUAGUUAGUAUGUUUGCAACAAAGAGAAGCUAAAUCUUGAACAAUGUUUUGAUCAUUUUUACCUGAGAAAGCAGAAGAAGAGAGAUGAGCAUAACAAAGGCCACCACUUUCAUCUUCUCCAUCUUGUCGGUUUUGAAGUAGUUUGUGAAAAUAGAAGCUGUGGAUGGUUCUUUAUAUAGACACAAUGUAGCUAUUUUGUCUUCUUCCUCUUUUCUUUUGUUGAGUGAAAAAAAAACCUCAUGUUGAUAGGUAUCACAUGCAAUAGGCUUUCAUCGCUGGACUAGACAUAAAUCACAGAUAUUAGAUUGAGUUUUGCUGUAAAGUGUUGGUGUUUGAUGCAACAGUUUUGAUUGGUCUUUGAGGAUAUAUCUAAUUUAUUACGCAAGGACGAAGAAGAAAAUUCAAACCUUGUUCACUGAAAUCUAAAUCAAGCUUAAAUACAUGAAAUGAGUGUAAAUUUACAGUAAAAAUAUAUAGGCUGGUUUUAACAAGGUACUGUAAUGUGUGUGACUUCACUGACUUGUCGACACACGUAUGGAGAGACAAGUGUACUUAAAGUGUAUAAAGAAAGAGGCAAUUAGGUAGUUUGAAAAUUAAUGUCUUAAUGAUAUCUUUGCCAUAAGAGUGUUAUAACAGCUGUCUCUUAGUUCAGACAUAGAACAGCUGAGAGAGAUAGAUGAAGAAAAACGCAUGCAGACGCAAUGUUGUUCGAAAAAGCAGAUGGCAAUGUUUGGCUCCGAUUGGUGAAAACGUAAUAUUAUUACUGUCUUCUAUAAACCACAUUCAAAAUUUCCAAACGCGCAUGAUGAGACUUUAAACGGAGAACGAAACCGAAUAACUACUUAGGCCACGAUUGUUUAUUUGCAUAAUUGCGUCUGUGUUGGUGUUUUCAUGUUAUAGGGAUCAAUAUGUAAGUUCAAACGCAAAGCUUUAUAUAAAUUUAUAUAGUUGAUAGGUUAUAUGCAUUUAAUACGGACAGAUUCGCAAGUUAAUAACUUAUUGAGAUGACUUAAUAUGAUUUUUACAAGUCAUCUCAAUUUUUUUUUAAACACUUAUUGAGAUGAUUUUACAAGUCACCGAUAUUAAUACAUGGGGUUUCAUCGACCAUACGGAAUAUGCAAUAAUAAUUUGAAACUAAAGAUUUGUAUGUUUCGUCUCAACAGGACUUUCUCUAGGUGUUCUGAAUCUGGCUAUUGUCGUCCCACAGGUAAAGAAAACGUUUGAAAUCAGUUUUAUUUAAUUAUUUACAAAAAAUGUUCACAUCCUGAUAUGUAUUUGUUGUUUCAUUAAAACGUAGAUGGUGGUAUCUGUGGGAGGUGGACCAUUCGAUGAACUAUUCCAUGGUGGAAACAUUCCGGCGUUUGUGCUAGGAGCAAUUGCGGCCGCGGUGAGUGGCAUAUUGGCUUUAACCGUGUUGCCUUCGCCGCCACCGGAUGCUCCAGCUUUCAAAACUGGGGCUAUGGGAUUUCAUUAAAGUUUUAGCAGUGUUUCAGUGGCUAUGUAACUCUCAUAAAACUGUAGUGUUAUUGUGCAAAUCCUACAUAAAGAGAAAAAAGGAAAUUCAUCUUCUUGGGUUGUUGGUUUAUAUUGUACCUAAACCCAUUGUGUUCCUUUUUUGUAACUGAAAUUUUCAAUUUGGAGUAUAUUUCACCUUUUGCCACCUUCAAGGCUUCAUUAUUACUACUUCAUUGUUUUGGAUCUUUCAGUCAUAUCUCACACAAGAAGAAUUGUAUUGUUUUUUUUGUUUCAUAAUAAAACUUAAAAUGUAAUAAUUAAUCUAGAAGAAUAAUUAUUUUUGAUGGUUUUCUUUUUUUUGUCAAGUGUAUUAGAAAUUUAGAACCGAGUUGAGUUAUACAUGUAAUUAAUAAAUACUUUUUAAAAUUCCAAAAAUGCAUUAUGUUACCUUACUCGUAGUUAUAAAUAAGCCUCUUUAGCUAUUACAUCGGCUUCACGUACAAUUUUCCUCACAAAUACAAAAGCUAAAAUCAGGAUGAGCUAGGCUGAUACUAUCUUUGGUGAGUAUAGCUACAGACUGGUUCUUUCAACCGUAAGAUAUAUCCUGAUGAAGAAAUUGUCUCCUACAACAGAUCAAACACACACAAGUUUAGUACAUUAAUUCUUCACGAGCUCCUGAUCUGCAGAUCUGAAUUUAAUAUUCGGAUUAUAAAACCUAUAACUAGUGUCUUAUUAAUAACGUUAGUCAGGUGUAGACCACCAUCAGUUCAGGACGCAAUCUGAUUGUAAAGCUGAUUUAUUGUUGCAAUAUAGUUUUCACAUUACAAAAAAAAAAGCACAAAAUGAUGAAUAUACACUUUUAUGUUUAGAGCAAUAAAAAUAAAUAAAAUAUGCAGAUUAAAAUUCUAAUAAAGAGAAAGAGAGAGAGUCCGGGCGGGGUAAACCCGGAAACCCGAAGAGUAACGCGGGUGGGCCUUAUCUUCAUCUUCCUCACCACACACACAACAAACACGCACACUCGUGGAUUUCAAACUUUGAGAGUAAUCUCAUCGGGACCUUUAUGAUCUCAUCGAACAUGCUUCUCCAUACGCUAUCGUCAUCGUCUCCACCCAUUCACCGCCUCUACCUCCACCAUUCUCAGAUUCUCCCUUCCUCUUCCUCUGUGUCUCUCAAGUUCCAUCCCAAAACGAUUUCUUUACA
rnacentral:lncRNA from 1 species